rnacentral:rRNA from 1 species
CUUGAGACCGGCGCACGGGUGCGUAACGCGUAUGCAAUCUGCCUUCCACAGAGGGAUAGCCCAGAGAAAUUUGGAUUAAUACCUCAUAGCAUCAUGACCCGGCAUCGGGAUAUGAUUAAAGUCACAACGGUGGAAGAUGAGCAUGCGUCCCAUUAGCUAGUUGGUAAGGUAACGGCUUACCAAGGCUACGAUGGGUAGGGGUCCUGAGAGGGAGAUCCCCCACACUGGUACUGAGACACGGACCAGACUCCUACGGGAGGCAGCAGUGAGGAAUAUUGGUCAAUGGGCGCAAGCCUGAACCAGCCAUGCCGCGUGCAGGAUGACGGUCCUAUGGAUUGUAAACUGCUUUUGUACGGGAAGAAACCCUCCUACGUGUAGGAGCUUGACGGUACCGUAAGAAUAAGGAUCGGCUAACUCCGUGCCAGCAGCCGCGGUAAUACGGAGGAUCCAAGCGUUAUCCGGAAUCAUUGGGUUUAAAGGGUCUGUAGGCGGUCUUGUAAGUCAGUGGUGAAAGCCCAUCGCUCAACGGUGGAACGGCCAUUGAUACUGCUGGACUUGAAUUAUUGGGAAGCAACUAGAAUAUGUAGUGUAGCGGUGAAAUGCUUAGAGAUUACAUGGAAUACCAAUUGCGAAGGCAGGUUGCUACCAAUGGAUUGACGCUGAUGGACGAAAGCGUGGGUAGCGAACAGGAUUAGAUACCCUGGUAGUCCACGCCGUAAACGAUGGAUACUAGCUGUUGGGCGCAAGUUCAGUGGCUAAGCGAAAGUGAUAAGUAUCCCACCUGGGGAGUACGAACGCAAGUUUGAAACUCAAAGGAAUUGACGGGGGCCCGCACAAGCGGUGGAGCAUGUGGUUUAAUUCGAUGAUACGCGAGGAACCUUACCAAGGCUUAAAUGCAGACUGACCGGUUUGGAAACAGACCUUUCGCAAGACGGUCUACAAGGUGCUGCAUGGUUGUCGUCAGCUCGUGCCGUGAGGUGUCA